rnacentral:rRNA from 1 species
UACGGGGGGGGGCAAGCGUUGUUCGGAAUUACUGGGCGUAAAGGGCUCGUAGGCGGCCAACUAAGUCCGACGUGAAAUCCCCAGGCUUAACCUGGGAACUGCGUCGGAUACUGGAUGGCUUGAAUUCGGGAGAGGGAUGCAGAAUUCCAGGUGUAGCAGUGAAAUGCGUAGAGAUCAUGAGGAAGACCAGUGGCGAAGGCGGGUCUCUGGACAGUUCCUGACACUGAGACACGAAGGCCAGGGGAGCAAACGGG